rnacentral:rRNA from 1 species
GACGAACGCUGGCGGCGUGCCUAAUACAUGCAAGUAGAACGCACAGUUUAUACCGUAGCUUGCUACACCAUAGACUGUGAGUUGCGAACGGGUGAGUAACGCGUAGGUAACCUGCCUGGUAGCGGGGGAUAACUAUUGGAAACGAUAGCUAAUACCGCAUAAUAUUAAUUAUUGCAUGAUAAUUAAUUGAAAGGUGCAAUUGCACCACUACCAGAUGGACCUGCGUUGUAUUAGCUAGUAGGUGAGGUAACGGCUCACCUAGGCGACGAUACAUAGCCGACCUGCGAGGGUGAUAGGCCACACUGGGACUGAGACACGGCCCAGACUCCUACGGGAGGCAGCAGUAGGGAAUCUUCGGCAAUGGACGAAAGUCUGACCGAGCAACGCCGCGUGAGUGAAGAAGGUUUUCGGAUCGUAAAGCUCUGUUGUAAGAGAAGAACGGGUGUGAGAGUGGAAAGUUCACACUGUGACGGUAUCUUACCAGAAAGGGACGGCUAACUACGU